GACGAACGCUGGCGGCGUGCCUAAUACAUGCAAGUCGAGCGGACAGAUGGGAGCUUGCUCCCUGAAGUCAGCGGCGGACGGGUGAGUAACACGUGGGCAACCUGCCCUUGAGAUCGGGAUAACUUCGGGAAACCGGAGCUAAUACCGGAUAGGUCUUUCCCUAACAUGAGGGAAAGAGGAAAGACGGUUUCGGCUGUCACUCAAGGAUGGCCCCGCGGCGCAUUAGCUAGUUGGUGGGGUAACGGCUCACCAACGCCACGAUGGGUAGCCGGCCUGGGAGGGUGAUCGGCAACACUGGGACUGAGGCACGGCCCAGACUCCUACGGGAGGCAGCAGUAGGGAAUCUUCCGCAAUGGACGAAAGUCUGACGGAGCAACGCCGCGUGAGUGAAGAAGGUUUUCGGAUCGUAAAACUCUGUUGUCAGGGAAGAACAAGUGCCAUAGUAACCGAUGGCACCUUGACGGUACCUGGCCAGAAAGCCACGGCUAACUACGUGCCAGCCGCCGCCGUAAAAC
rnacentral:rRNA from 1 species